rnacentral:rRNA from 1 species
AUUGAACGCUGGCGGCAGGCCUAACACAUGCAAGUCGAACGAGUGGCGGACGGGUGAGUAAUGUCUGGGAAACUGCCCGAUGGAGGGGGAUAACUACUGGAAACGGUGGCUAAUACCGCAUACCAUCGGAUGUACCCAGAUGGGAUUAGCUAGUAGGUGGGGUAAAGGCUCACCUAGGCGACGAUCCCUAGCUGGUCUGAGCGGAUGACCAGCCACACUGGAACUGAGACACGGCCCAGACUCCUACGGGAGGCAGCAGUGGGGAAUAUUGCAAAAUGGGCGCAAGCCUGAUGCAGCCAUGCCGCGUGUGUGAAGAAGGCCUUCGGGUUGUAAAGCACUUUCAGCGGGGAGGCGUUACCCGCAGAAGAAGCACCGGCUAACUCCGUGCCAGCAGCCGCGGUAAUUC